GAAAGGAAUUCCACCUGAAAGUCAACAGGAACAUAAAGUACAUUUCUUUCUCAGUUGCGUACAUAGUUUCCAGUAAGACCAGACUGCUACUGCAGAGGGAAUCAAAUUGCAAGUUGUGGCCUGGUUUGGGAAAAAUCUCUGCCUUUCAGCUGUUUCCUUAUUGUGAUGUCCCACCAACUCAGAACCCAUCAUUCUUUUUACCUUGCACCUUAGCCAUCUCAAAAGGAUGAAAAACCUGAAGUCUCGCCAUGCCAUGAUGUAUCCAGAUGGAUCUUAUAUUUGUAUUAAGAUUGUAACAUGUUUUUAUUAAAUACAUACACAGUUCAA